rnacentral:rRNA from 1 species
GCACGAACUUAGCCCGUGCUUCCUCUGCAGGCUAUGUCAAACCGGAAGGGAGAACCCUCCGGCAUUUCAUCCCCUCUGACAGUGGUUUACAACCCAAGGGCCUUCAUCCCACACGCGGCGUCGCUCGGUCAGGCUUUCGCCCAUUGCCGAAGAUUCUCGA